rnacentral:tRNA from 5 species
GCGCCGUUAGCUCAGUCGGUAGAGCACCUGCCUUUUAAGCAGAGGGUCGAGGGUUCGAUUCCCCCACGGCGCACCA